rnacentral:lncRNA from 1 species
UCGUGCAUGGGGCCAAGAUUUGGGAAAUUUUCAAAGUGUUUGUUUUUUAGGUUUGAUGGUUGGAAUGCACACUUUAUAUGACCAAAGGAUACGGUAAAAAUCUUGGUGCAAAAUAGUUUACAUUUUGGUGAGAUUUCAAGCUAGCCAAGUUUGGUGCUGAGACUUGCCUAGGUCGGUGCAUGGGGCAAAGAUUUGGGAAAUUUUCAAAGUGUUUGUUUUUGAGGUUUGAUGGUUGGAAUGCACUCUUUAUAUGACCAAAUGGCUACAGUAAAGAUCUUGGUGCAAGAAAUAUUUCAUUUUGGUUGGUUUUCAAGCUAGCCAAGUUUGGUGGUGAGACUUGGCUAGGUCGGUGCAUGGGGCCAAGAUUGGGAAAUUUUGAUAGUUUUGGUUUUUAGGUUUGAUGGUUGGAAUGCACUCUUUAUAUGACCAAAUGCCUACGGUAAAAAUCUUGGUGCAACAAANUUUUCAUUUUAGUGGCUUUUCAAGCUAGCCAAGUUUGGUGGUGAAACUUGGCUAGGUCGGUGCAUGGGGCCAAGAUUUCGAAAAUUUUCAAAGUGUGUUUUUUUUAGGUUUGAUGGUUGGAAUACACUCUUUAUAUGACUAAAUGGAUACGGUAAAAAUCUUGGUGCAAAAAAUUUUUCAUUUUGGUGAGAUUUCAACCUAGCCAAGAUUGGUGGUGAGACUUGGCUAG